rnacentral:rRNA from 1 species
UACGUAGGGUCCGAGCGUUGUCCGGAAUUACUGGGCGUAAAGAGCUCGUAGGUGGUUUGCCGCGUUGUUCGUGAAAACUCACAGCUUAACUGUGGGCGUGCGGGCGAUACGGGCAGACUUGAGUACUGCAGGGGAGACUGGAAUUCCUGGUGUAGCGGUGAAAUGCGCAGAUAUCAGGAAGAACACCCGUGGCUAAGGCGGCUCUCUAGUACGGUACUGACGCUGAGACGCGAAAGCGUGGGGAGCGAACAGG